UACGGGGGGGGCAAGCGUUGUUCGGAAUUACUGGGCGUAAAGGGCUCGUAGGCGGCCAACUAAGUCAGACGUGAAAUCCCCAGGCUCAACCUGGGAACUGCGUCUGAUACUGGAUGGCUUGAAUCCGGGAGAGGGAUGCAGAAUUCCAGGUGUAGCGGUGAAAUGCGUAGAUAUCUGGAGGAAUACCGGUGGCGAAGGCGGCAUCCUGGACCGGCAUUGACGCUGAGGCGCGAAAGCGUGGGGAGCAAACGGG
rnacentral:rRNA from 1 species